GACAGAGGGUGCAAGCGUUAAUCGGAAUUACUGGGCGUAAAGCGCGUGUAGGCGGUUGGCUAAGUCAGAUGUGAAAGCCCCGGGCUCAACCUGGGAAUGGCAUUUGAUACUGGUUAACUAGAAUGUGGUAGAGGGAGGCGGAAUUCCCGGUGUAGCGGUGAAAUGCGUAGAGAUCGGGAAGAACACCAAUGGCGAAGGCAGCCUCCUGGGCCAACAUUGACGCUGAGACGCGAAAAGCCAGGGGAGCAA
rnacentral:rRNA from 1 species